rnacentral:rRNA from 1 species
UACGAAGGGGGCUAGCGUUGUUCGGAAUUACUGGGCGUAAAGCGCGCGCAGGCGGUCCUUCAAGUCAGAGGUGAAGGCCCAGAGCUCAACUCUGGAACGGCCUUUGAGACUAGAGGACUUGGGUACGGGAGAGGUGAGUGGAAUUCCGAGUGUAGAGGUGAAAUUCGUAGAUAUUCGGAAGAACACCAGUGGCGAAGGCGGCUCACUGGCCCGUUACCGACGCUCAGGCGCGACAGCGUGGGGAGCAAACAGG